UGAUUAGAAGCUUGCUUCUAUGACGUUAGCGGCGGACGGGUGAGUAACACGUGGGCAACCUGCCUGUAAGACUGGGAUAACUUCGGGAAACCGAAGCUAAUACCGGAUAGGAUCUUCUCCUUCAUGGGAGAUGAUUGAAAGAUGGUUUCGGCUAUCACUUACAGAUGGGCCCGCGGUGCAUUUACCUAGUUGGUGAGGUAAGGGCUCACCAGGGAAACGAUGCAUAGCCGACCUGAGAGGGUGAUCGGCCACCCUGGGACUGAGAAACCGGCCAAACUCCUACGGGAGGCAGCAGUAGGGAAUCUUCCGGAGGGGACGAAA
rnacentral:rRNA from 1 species